rnacentral:rRNA from 1 species
CAGCCGCGCGGGAAUACGUAGGGUGCGAGCGUUAAUCGGAAUUACUGGGCGAAAAGCGUGCGCAGGCGGUUGUGUAAGACAGGUGUGAAAUCCCCGGGCUUAACCUGGGAACUGCGCUUGUGACUGCACAGCUAGAGUAUGGCAGAGGGGGGUGGAAUUCCACGUGUAGCAGUGAAAUGCGUAGAGAUGUGGAGGAACACCGAUGGCGAAGGCAGCCCCCUGGGCCAAUACUGACGCUCAUGCACGAAAGCGUGGGGAGCAAACAGGAUUAGAUACCCCCGUAGUCCCUGUCUCUUAUACA